UUCUUUUAUUUGCUUUGCUGCAUUUUGUGGAUGGAUGUGAUCUUCUUCGAAACCAAGCGUCAAUUCGAUCUGAAUUGAAUCCUAUGUUUGAAGGUGCUUCUUGAACUGACCACUUGGGGUAUGGUCAGUUCGCUAAUUUCUAUCAUUCUGUCACUGUAUCUUAUGUUUAUUUGAACUGGGAGAAUGCAUUCAAGGAGAAAAAUGUCAACUCUUUGUCUCUGUUUAGUCAGAAUGGUAAAAUUUAGAGCUAAAUGCUCUUUGACUUGCUGAGACUUUGGAACAUUGAUUCUUAUUUUUGUUGAACUCAAAGUUGUGGGUAUGUAAAGUGUAGAUAUAUGCUUUCUGCUCUGUGUUUAAUGUGUUCUGUAAGUAGUGAAUUAUAUGAAUUAGCAAAAAAAUAUUUUGGUUUUUUGUUAGUUGUUGUUGUUUAAAGGUCUAGGUUAUAGUUCAAGAGGCUGAUCCUUACUGGGUUUGAAAAAAUGCUUUAAAAUAACUUCAUUAACCUCGUGAGUAACUAGCACUUUUAUUGCAAUACGCCUCUAUCCUAGUGUGACCUUGAUUUCGUAGGACAUAUUUUUCGCUAUACAUUUUGAUCUUUGUUUUCAUUGUGGAGGUCCUGCAGAAAAAUAGCUUGACGCAGGAAAUUGGACGACGAAAUGAAGAAAUCGAAGAGGACGAGACGUUUUGGAUUAUGAGGUUAAUUGAUCAGCUUGAUAGGUGACCAGAGCUAGCUAGCGAGAAGUAUCCCACCGGCCGUUAUACUCUAGUAAAAUAUGAUCCUGCAUUCAUAAUGCAUUUGCUUCAAAGUGUGUCAGACUCAGCCUCCAUUCUUCAACUGUGUUACUGAUUUUGUUUCAGGUUUUCUCAUUUAGAGGAAUAAGAAAGGUCUUUUUCUUUGUUCCUUCUAUUUGUUCAGUUUAUUUGGUUGCAUUUUUUUAUUUACUUUGCUGUUCAAUUUAUGUGUUCCAUAUUGAUUUUGAAUAUCCUUUUGGACUUAUUUUGGCACAAUUUCUCAUCCAUAUUUUAAAAGUGAAAGUAAGUAUAAAGCAUUAAGUUUCACUAUACACAAGCAAGUCCAGCUUUUAUUUGAUUGGAUGGGACUUGCACGACUUUGGGGUGGUUCAAUGCCAAUUAUUCAGCAUGCUUUGCAGGCAGUUAAGGAAGGUGGUAAGCAUGUAUCAUUUAUAGACAAUUAUGAAAACAUGUAUCAAGAUGCAGAGCAUAAGUGGGUAAGUGAGGUUAAAAACGAGUGAGACAUGUAAGUUUUCGAUCAAUAUCUUUGUUCAUUCUUUUUCUUAAUCUUGCGAUUCUUUUUCUUAAUCUUGCCAAUCAAAUUGAAUGAAUACUUUUUAUGUUUGAGAUCUGUUGUUUAAUACUGCUAACAUGUGCUUGUGGUUUCUCUGUCUUACUUAUUCAGGGGCUUGCUUGAGAGCUGGGGAAUUUUCUUCUUGGAAUACACAGUUAUUACACUGUCAGCAUACUUAAAGAUCACAUGUUGGUAGAUUUGGCCAAAUGACAUAUGAUGAUCAGCUGACUUCUCCAAUAAUACCAAGUCUCCAAAUGACAUGAUGAUCAGCUUUCGUAGAAGUAAUUCCUCAAAAGUAAAGCUACAGAUAUUAAUUACUGGAAGGAGGUAAUUUUUCCCAGCAGCCUAGCUCUUAGAGGAUACUAUAGGACUGAAAUAUGUUAGAUACAUGAAGCUUUUAUUAGUCCAAGGUGAAUGGGGCUUAGGCAUGCCAGACGUUUAAACUCGUUGUUGUUUAAAGGAGAAAAUAUAUGUAAAUGUGGAUUUAUUUUGCUGCAAUUGUCUCAAUGUAAUUAUUUAAUAAUGCAUUUGGUAUCCAGCAUUUUGCCA